CACCCCUCAAGCUCUUGCUUGGUGUUGGGGGAUUCGCCCUGGUUAGGGGCGCCCCCGAAAAUCAGCGGCGGUGCAGCCGAUAUCUCUAGCGCAGUGACUUACCAUUCUCGCUACGGAUUUUGGAGCAAAGCACCAUGCCAAAACGCAUAUUUUCUCUU
rnacentral:misc_RNA from 1 species